AGACUGAAGACACCAAACACUGCCAACUAAUUUCUGCCACCCGCAGAAAAACAACGCAGUUGCCAGAACUAAAACAAAAAUGAAAAUACAUUGAAUACGUUUCAGAGUCAAUUAUUUUCUUCCAGUGAGAGCCCUCCUAACACUGGGCAGAACUGUCCCAUUUUGAAGUGGCAAUCCAUUUUGGCUAAGUGAUGUCAGGCAGCCUGUCACGUUAGUCUGUGUGAAGCAGUGGGCCUAUUCCUCAUCUCAGCGGCUGCUCGCUCAUGGUGGGGACAAACGACAUUUCUUUCUCAUUUGGAAGGAAAUAACGGGGCCAGAAACUGCGCUGGCAGCCAAACAGAAACUGCGCCCUAGAGCUAUACUGAACCAAGGACACAAGCCAGUCUUUGUUUGUUUUUUCUUCUUCUUCUUCUGUUUUUUUCCUUUAGUAACACUAAAGGGCUGUGUAGUUGUGUUCCGAUACUGUGGGGUCAUUUUACUUGUUUUCUUUUUUUUUUUUUUGUUAUUUCAAGCUGGCCGUGUGUUCGCUGCAACUGGGCAGUCAUUUCCACUGGACACCACAAAAACUGUAGCAGUGACUUUGAUUGGGGAAUAGCAAGCCCCUUAGCCCAUUUUGGUGGGUACGGUCACAUAUCUAUUCCCUCUGUUCCAAUUUUCAUGACCUGCACAUUGAAAUCCGCACGCCAGAGACAGCUUCAUUAUUAGCGUGCCUUGCACCGAGCUCAGUGGCAGGAUAUUGCAUAGAGGAGCAUAUAACAGCUGAGCAAUCUGAGUUGGGCAGCUGGGCAUGCAGGUAUUGUAAUUUUAAUUCCCUUCUCAAUUCCCACGUCCCUCUACAGUGGGCUGUUGUUCUUCUCAAACGAGUUUGAGGUAAAAUGUCAUUGAAAACGCCCCGUGCGCUGAAAUUGUGAGGGAACCACAGAUGUGGGUUGUGUGAUUUCACAUAAUAUUUUUGCUCAAAGUAGAAAACACUUGCUGAUUUCCACUCUACACACUUUCUCACAUGCCCUCUAUGAUGCUGUCAAACCUAUCACACGUUGACUGCGAGAGUAAAAGGGAAAGCUAAACAAAUACCUGCAGGGCAUUUUUCUGCUGUGGCAAAGUAAAAAUAAUUACCCGGCAACAAAGCCAUUGUUGCAUACUUGAGUG
ensembl:lncRNA